AGUGAGAAUGCCAAACACGCUUAGUGCUCAGAUAAAAAAAGGUGGCGACUGGGAACAUCGCUUUGCAGAUGAAUGCAGAAGGAAUCAUCGCUGCGUGCGCCACAUUGGCCGUCACAGUGAUUGCAGGUCGCAGGACACCUGCGCAAGCCAGACUUGGGAUCCGCAUCAGUGCGCACCGAUGGUUGACACAGGCGGGGCUGAUGCACAGUAAAGAACCGCUGACAUUUGGCUGAAGUGCAACAGGUCACAAUGAAGCAACAGAGGAUUGUGAAGUGAUAGUCUGUACCAUGGACUCUGCAAUCAAGGACUUCUUAGCUGUGAUUAAUAAAUUGAAAGAUACUGUACAAACUUAUAUAUGACUCAGAGGAAAUCACAAGUUGGUGUCGAAACGCGUGAGUCAGUUUAACCAAGUUUCAGUGCAGAAUUGGUGAAGUCUUUAUCAGCCGGUGCUUAUUACUAUUAAAGUUACAUUAUCAUGAUUGAUUGCUAUAAUCAUAAAACUAGUGAAAUCAUGAAUACUGUUCCUGAUUAAACAACAUCAUCCUGGAUUUAAAAGGGAAAAAUAUUGACACAUUACCCUUAAAUUUCUUGGGGACAAGGACAUGGGAUUUUAAGAGUACUGAACUGUAAUCUCUGGGUGAAUAACUGUAUUAUCAGGAAGGUUUGGACUUGCAAAUAAUCUAUAUAUAUAAAUGCGAAAGCACUCACUCACUCACUCACUCAUUCACUCACUUCCUGACUCAUCACUAAUUCUCUUACUUCAUGAUGUGUUAGGGAGCUGAAAUGUAACAUAGGUAUUCUGCAGGUGGGAAAUAGGAAAACUAUUUAAUUAGAAUUUUAAUAAACCUCCACUAAGGGGAUGAACAGGGGGUUGACAUAAUGACAUCAUUACCAAUGCGUGGCUUGCGUUACAUGAAUGAUAACACCCAAACGGACAAUCAGAUCAAAAUUUGGAUUGCAACUCCAGUGUGUAGAACGCCGGGAUCCCGGCAGCAUACCGAUGCCGGGAUCCCGGCGGGGAGGGGCGAGUACAGCAAGCCCCUUGCGGGCUCGCUGCGGUCGCCACGCUGCGCUCGCCACGCUGCGCUCGCCACGCUGCGGUCGCCACGGGUUCUAUUCCCACUCUAUGGGUGUCGUGGACACCCACGAGUGGAAAUAGUCCCUGUUGGUCGGCAUGCCGACCGUCGGGAUAGUGACCCGUCGGGCUGGUGGAGGAGGUCAUGUGACUGUCGGUCACAUAAAUACCACCCAGUGGGGAUAUGUAUUGCAGGAUGAGGCUGGGCUGGAGAGGCAGUGUGCGACUAUGCAGCUGUGUUUGAGGUUUUGGAGGCAGUGUGUGAGGUUAUUUGGCAGUGUGUGUGUGUAGCUAUGGGGAAGUGUGUGUGUGUGUGUGUGUGUGUGUGUGUGUGUGUGUGUGUGAGACUAUUGGGGCAGCAUGUGUGAGGCUAUGAGGCAGCAUGAGGCUAUGAGGGCAGCGGGUAUGAGUCUAUGUGUUUGUUUGUGUGUGUGUGUGUGUGUGUGUGUGUGUGUGUGUGCCGGGGGGGCAUAUUAUUUACUGAGAACAUAACAGUAUGGCAUACAGAAUGCCAGGGGCACUAUGAUGAUAAACUUUCUUCUUAUGUUGGUGUGUCCUUAUCCCCCCAACGCUGCACCCAAUACUGUGUCUUUAUCCCCCAACACUUUACCCAAUACUGUAGCCUUGUCUCCUAACCCUGCCACCAAUACUGUACCCUUACCCCCAACCCUUCACUCACUACUGUACCCUUACCCCCAACCCUUCACUCACUACUGUACCCUUACCCCCUAACCCUGCACCCAAAACUACAAUAUAUCCUUACCAUCUAACCUUGCACACACUACAAUACACAUAUCCACCUGAGACUGCACAUAUUACUGUACCCUUACCCCCUAACCCUGCACCCAAACUAUGUCCUUAUCACCUAACCUUGCACACACUACUGUACCCUCCCCCCUAACCUUUCACACACUACUGUACCCUCCCCCCUAACCUUGCACACACUACUGUACACUUAACCCCUAACUUUUCAAAUAGUACUGUACCCUCACCCCCCCCCAAUCCUGCACACACUACUGUGCCCUUACCCCCCUAACUCUGCCCUGAAAACUAUGUCCUUAUCACCUAACUUUGCACACACUACUGUACCCUUCCUCCUCCCAACCCUGCACACACUACAGUACCCUCACCCCUAACCUUGCACACACUACUGUACCCUCCCCCCAACCCUGCACACUACUGUACAUUUACCCCCUAACCUUGCACACACUACUGGUCCCUUACCCUCAACCCUACACACAGUACUGUACCCUUAGCCCCUAACCUUUCACACACUACUGUAUACUUAACACUUAUUUUACAACCCUACACACAGUAUUGGACCCUUACCCUUCUAACUCUACACACACUACUGUAUAUGUAUCACUUAUUUUACAUAUUGCUUAUUACAUUUUAAAAUAUGAAACAUUGUAAAGAGACAGGUAAAGAGGGCAUAUUUGUGGGUGGGUGCAAGUUUAGAGUUUGCAGAGGGUGUCAAAUACCUUAGCACUAGUCCUGAAUAGGUGUCAGAGCAUCAGAAUCAGACCUGUAUUAUAUGUGUACAAAAAGUGUGUAGAUAUUAAAUAUAUAAUCAUGGCCGCAACUAGGGGUGGCUAGGGGCUGUAGGGGCACUAAUGAGGCCAGUUCUGGUGCAGGCUGCAGCACUAGUGAUACUCCCAGCCCUGCUGGCUCCCACUGUCUUCUGGCUCCCCUUAACAGCUAGUGACCUGCUGUCAGGUGUCAGCAGCACUAGAGACUCCCGGCGCUUUCGGGUUGAGGAUGCACAUCGUGCGUGUGACGUCAUGACGCCGCAUGUGCAUGUGACAUCACACGCACACAUCAGAGGCUGCAGACUGGGGAGAACGGAGGCGGGAGUCUGGCGCCAGCAGUAGUGAACCCCCACACACACAAAAGAAGGUGCGUGGCGUGCUGGCAGCAUCGGGGCAACAGGCAAAGAUAGAGAAGGGGGGAGCCUGGGGGCGUGAAUAUUGCACUGCCUGUUGUGUUGCCAAAUAAAUGUACACUGUCAUGUCACAUCAAAUAAGCAAAUGUUCUGGGGCCCGUAGCCCCUGCAUAUCCUCUUUGGUCUAUGGGCCUCAUAACAUUGGCUUAUUUGACGUGAUAUCUGACAAUAUACUUGUAACACUUCAAAAGACCCUGAGUACCACUGUCUUUUUUCAGCGGGCAUUUAUUCAGUACAGAGGGCAACUGGGCCAUUGCUACUACUGUUUAGGAGUGCUGGACACCAAGAACUAUAUAAGUCCAGAUAAGUAAAGGGCAGUGAAGAAUCCGGGAAUUUUGUGCAAUUUUCCGAGCAUCGGGAGACUCUGCAGUUAGCCAGGAUUCUCCCACAGGAUGUGGGAGGGUAGGCAACCCUGGUUUAUUUAUAAAGUAGAUCUUGUACUCUACCCUGUCACUUUCAUUAUAAUGAGCUACAGUAGCUGCAAGCAUAUGGGUCAUCUAGUAGGUAAGUUCCUCAGGAACUAUAAUACAUGCUAAAAUAAUGGAAAAUAGAAACAAACUAAGUUAAAAAGAUUGGGAGAGGAAGUCCAGAAUGAGAGAUGACAAAAGUUAUACUAGUAUAGGAGGACAGGAUGAGAAAGACAGUGGAGGAAGGGGACAAGGAAAGGGGAGGGUAAUGAAAAGGGGUUGAAACAGGGUGGGCUGUGGACGAAUCUUUGGAGGAAUGUAUAUGCUUGUUACGCUUGAUGAAGAGGUGGAUUUAGACCUCAUGGGGCCCAAAUCAAGAUACAGAUUUCGGGCCCCAUCCCUCAAACAAUCCAUAGCACCAGUGGUGUAACUUCAUCCCAGUCGCCCAAAGGCAAGAUAGAUGUAGCCCCCCCCACAUAUAUGCCAACUUGUAAAAUGAAUGACAUGCCCAUGACACUGCUAUGAAAAUUAGUUGUUUACAUUGCCCGAUGUGACGCUAUAAUGUCACACCGCACGCAUAGGCAAACGCAGGGGGGUUUUCCGGGUGCCCAGAAACCCCCCCUCCUCUUGGCCAGUUGCUCAAAUUAUGACAACAAUAGCAAUAGUAUAUAAAACGAUUACUAGAGCUUCUGCCCCAUCAUGCAGUUUAAGGGACAGAGCAGAGCUGCUGUAUAUGCCCAGUGGUAUCAGCUUAUUCUACUUAGUUUGUCAUGUGUGGAUCUGAGUCCUCAGUCAGUGCACUGGACCAGAGAGUAGCUACCAGGAAGAAGAGACAGGAGCUUUACUAUGAUGUGGGAGAAUGUGUGCUUAGAAAGUGCUGUUCAGGCUCUAUUAUGUUUGUGUGUUUAUGUAUUAUUUAAAUAUGUUUGCUACAGCCUAUACUAUUGUGUUAGAUAUUAAUACUGUAUUCCAUACAAUAUCCAGUGUAUAAAAAGAUCAAGGUUUACAUUAAUAUCCAAGGUCGUUACUAGGUUCUUCUGCUGCUAUCCCAGACUCCUGCACUUGCUCCAAUCUUCCACAGAGUGGGAGACGGUGGAUUGCAUUUGGAAACCCCCCUCUAGAAAUCCUGCGUUUGCCAAUUCACAUUACGCCACAUGGUAUGAGCCGAAAUUCACAUUACGCUACACGGUGUGAGCCAAAUUCACAUUAUGCCACACAGUAUGAGCCAAAAUUCACAUUAUUCCACAUGGUAUGAGCCGAAAAUACAUAUUGCGCCACACGGUAUGAGCCAAAAUUCACAUUACACCACACAGUAUGAGCUGAAAUUCACAUUACACCACACAGCAUGAGCCGAAAUUCACAUAACGCUACACGGUAUGAGCCAAAUUCACAUUACGCCACAUGGUAUGAGCCAAAAUUCACAUUACGCCACACAGUAUGAGCCCAAAUUCACAUUAUGCCACAUGGUAUGAGCCGAAAUUCACAUUACGCCACAUGGUAUGAGCUGAAAUUCACAAUACGCCACACGGUAUGAGCCAAAUUCACAGUACACCACACUGUAUGAUCCAAAAUACACAUUACGCCACAUGUUGUGAGCCAAAAUUCACAUUACGCCACAUGGUAUGAGCCAAGUUUACAUUACACCACAUGGGCUGAAAUUCACAUUACACCACAUGGUAUGAGCCGAAAUUCACAUUACGCCACACGGUAUGUGCCGAAAUUCACAUUAUUCCACACGGUAUGAGCCAAUUUCAUAUUACACCACAAAGUAUGAGAGAAAUUCAAAUUAUACCACAUGGUAUGAGCUGAAAUUCACAUUACACCACAUGGUAUAAGCCGAAAUUCACAUUAUACCACAGAGUACUGUAUGAGCCGAAAUUCACAUUACACCACACAGAAUGAGCCAAAUUCAUGUUAUACAGUACCAGUGAAAGACAGUACUGCUGAACAACUUCUGGCUGAUUCAUUAAGUCAAUGAAUUUGAUAGAAUUUGUCCUACUCUGGCUCCCUCCUAAGAGGAACGCUAUAUGCUGCUCCUCCACAGUGGCACACUAUGCAGGAGAGGAGGAAGGAUAGCUGUGACUGAUAGAGCAGUGUGUGGGUGUGAGCUGGGGCCGGCUCCCAGCGGCAGCUGUCUGAUCAAUGGGAGUCAUUCUGACCCGUUCGCACACAGCGGUUCUUCGCUGCAGUGUGAAUGGGUCAGAACUGCGGCUGUGUGGUGCCCGCAUUGCGCACGUGCGUUGUUGCCCAGCGAUGGCAAUCACCGGGCAAUGACGCCAGGACCAAAGAAAUCGAUCGCAAGAAGAGUGACAGCGGGAAGGAGGAUCAGGGUGUCUACUCACCUUUUCCCUGCUGUGGUAAGGCGAACGCAGGCGUGUCCAGGCGUUUGGAGGGUGGAUGUCUGACGUCACAGCCAGGACCUUCAUCGCUGGAUCCGUCGCACUGGGUAAGUAGGUUCAGGGCUAGUCUUGUUCUGCACAAAACUUUUUUAGCAUAGCAGGGCUGCACAAGCGAUCGCAGCCCUGCUAUGCUAAAAUACACUCCCCCAUAGGCUGCCCCUGACACUCACCGGGCCCUAAGUGGGUGCCUGGGAUGCCUAGCGGUUAAUCCACCCCUGUCUUGAUGGGAUGUGUGAAUUAUCUAUUGAAACCCUUAUUACCUCAAUGAAUGGAGCCUUGCUCAGAGCAGUGUUGUCAGUGACAUAAUAACUCCAUUUGUCCUUUCCAUUGCAGCGCCCCUGGGCUCUCCACUCACAAAUUCCCACACUGGGACAGGGGGUAAGUAUUUCACCCCUCUACUUCACCCUACCAUAACACUACCCAUUGGGUGGUGGUGGCAAGGACUAACCCUCGGGAAUGGGGGGGGGGGUAGCGGCUACAGCUAACCACCUCCUAAUGCCUAAACCUAACACACCCCCCUGGGCCCUAACACUCACCUUCAGCAUUCCGGCGGUUGGUGUUUCGGCGCUGGUGUCUCAAGUGGUGUAGGAAUUCCGGCAUCAGUCACAUGACUGCUGGCAUGUAAACUGGUGGGAUGCCGAUGCAUCCUGUGAUAUCUAUGCUUGAGCACAGGUCACUUAAUUAGCACCUCAGUUAUAUGGAUUUAAACAUUUGGGCUGAAGCCUGGAUAUAACUAAAACCAGCAAUGUAAGUGUGCCUUGAGGACCAAGAUUACGAAUGUCUGUCCUAAACUAUACAGUUUUAAAAUUUAACCCUGGACACAGUACCAGAAAUUCCUCACCAGUGCCUUGAGGCUCCCCUAAAGGUUUCUUUACCAUCUUAGAAGUCCCAGAGAUUGGUGUUUAUCCCUUUGGAAUGCAUAUUACCCCAUUCAUUUGCACAUCUCCAGGAAUUCACAAUUCCAUGACUGUAAUAAACUGCUUCAAACAUGCGAUUGGGUCGGAACUGUGCAUGUGCUGCGGCCGCAUCGCGCAGGAGCAUUGUUGCCCAGCGACGGCCGUCGCCAGGCAGCGACGCCGCUAACGAAGAAAGUGGUCGCAGCAAUAACCGCAAGAAGAUUGACAGGAGGAAGGCGUUCCGGGGUGUCAACUGACCGUUUUCUGGGAGUGGUGCGGCGAACGCAGGCAUGUCCAGGCGUUUGGAGGGCGGAUGUCUGACAUCACUUCCGGGACCAUCAACGCUGGAUUCAUCGCACAGGGUAAGUAACUUAUACCCUGGUCUUGUUCUGCACAAAACUUUUUUUGCAUAGCAGGGCUGCACAAGCGAUCGCAGCCUUGCUAUGCAAAAAAUCCCUCCCCAUAGGCGGCUUCUAGUUGAUCACACGGGCUGCAAAAAGUAGCUACGUGCUAUCAACUUGGAAUGACCCCCAAUAUUUCUUGUUUUGAUACAUCUACUCACAGAAUGUGGCACAUAAUACUUUAUCAGGAGUGGUUCCAAAGCCUGUGAUAUCAGUGUACUCAAGUCACUUAAGUACAAGUAGCGGACAAAUGACAGCAUCUGAACAAGAGAGCAGCGUGGUUAUACAGAUUUACAGAUUUUGUGGUUUGUAAAUAACCAGAGCCGGCCCUAACCAAUAUGAUGCCCUAGGCAAGAUUUUGGCUGGUGCCCCCUAGCAUCACCGCUGGUUCUGCAAGAGAUGCCUGGCAUGAGUCAGCUGGCAGCUCUGCUAACGUCGGGCGCCUUUUGUUUAUGAAAAUGCAUCUUAUUUGCAUUACUAUGUGGCAAGGAUGCACAAGCAGCUUCUGCUGAUUAAAAUUAUAUGCAGCAUGCCUAUAUUCUGUGUGUGACUGCGGCUGUAUCUGCAUACGAAAAGUUACAUUACAGUGAUUUCCAGGAAUACACACAGAAUAUAGGCAUGCCGCAUAUCAUUUUAAUCAGCAGAAGCUGCUGGUGCCCCUAAGCAUACCAAAUGCCCUAGGCAUUUGCCUAGUUUGCCUAUGCCUAAGGCCGGCUCUGUAAAUAACAGUAUCUACUUUGUUAUACUUUGGGGUUUCUUGUUCAAGCUGUGUUUUUUGUAAAAUCACUUCAGAAUUAUAAUAGCGAUUUCAUUGAAAGAAAACAGUCUUGUUAGGCAUUAAUCAAAUCAAUGUGAAAAUCAUCAAACGAGAUAUUAUAUUAAUAUUAUUAUUAUUAUUUUUAAUAUUAUUUUAGUAGCAGUAGUAAUAAUAAUAUUAGCAUCAACAACUGCGGGUGAUCCUUUUCUGUUCACGGCAAACAUAUUGACAAACUGCGUACAGUAGCUGGCUUCCAGUCGUAUACCCGCUACCUGUGGUUCUUAUGUUUGUCAUUUGUAUAUGAGAUUGAUUGCUGGAAAUAUCAAUAUGACAACAUUUUUAAUUAACACAUAAUGUCUGCAUGCAUUAUCAGAACACGCAUGUUGAGACUUGAUUUGUGCCGAUACAAAUAUCUUCAUUCUGUCUGGCAUUUAAAUGAGACGAAUGCCUUCAUUUCACAGCUUUAAAUUAAGUUUAAUAUGUAACAUUAUUAAAUAUGGUUUUCCAAGUC